rnacentral:rRNA from 1 species
CCUACGGGAGGCAGCAGUGGGGAAUAUUGGACAAUGGGCGAAAGCCUGAUCCAGCAAUGCCGCGUGAGUGAUGAAGGCCUUAGGGUCGUAAAGCUCUUUUACCAGGGAUGAUAAUGACAGUACCUGGAGAAUAAGCUCCGGCUAACUCCGUGCCAGCAGCCGCGGUAAUACGGAGGGAGCUAGCGUUGUUCGGAAUUACUGGGCGUAAAGCGCACGUAGGCGGCUACUCAAGUCAGAGGUGAAAGCCCGGGGCUCAACCCCGGAACUGCCUUUGAAACUAGGUAGCUAGAAUCUUGGAGAGGCGAGUGGAAUUCCGAGUGUAGAGGUGAAAUUCGUAGAUAUUCGGAAGAACACCAGUGGCGAAGGCGACUCGCUGGACAAGUAUUGACGCUGAGGUGCGAAAGCGUGGGGAGCAAACAGGAUUAGAUACCCCAGUAGUC